rnacentral:tRNA from 1 species
UACACUUUAAUAUAAAACGUAUUUAGGUUUUUGAUUCCUACAGAGGCAGGUUGAUACUGCUAGGUGUAA